rnacentral:lncRNA from 1 species
GGGGACGGAGGUGCAGAGGCUUCUGGAGCAGUGUCAGCCCUUACUAGUGUGGGCUGCCCUGCUCAUUUUGGAUCCAGGACAGCUGUGAGAGACGGGGCCCAUAGGAAGCACGUUGGGAGAGACCCACAGGGCUGGGAGAAAGCAAGAGAGAUGAAGACGACAUUAACCACUAUCCCACUCAGGGAAUCUGGGGCUUGUUGAGUCAGUUCUUGCACUGCCUGCCCGCCCCCACCCCCCCCACCCCCAGACAGAUGCCGGGGACAACCCCAAAAAUAUUCAACAUCAAGUUCUUUACAGGCGGGAAACAAUCUGAAUAGGCUGGCUAGGGACCCUAUGGGGCCCCCUGUCUCAAUGGGCAUUAACCCUUUAAGUGCUACCUUAGGGGAGGGGUGGAACAGGUGGGCAACAGGGCUCAAGGAGGCAGAUAUUUACAGCCUGUAGGUUGACAUUUGCUUUGGGCCCGUCAGAGCGUCCCGGCGGGAUAUCUGCCAUGGAGAGGGACUGUGGAAGUGAGGGACAAGCAGGGAGUUGGCAGCACAGCCCUGUGUAGGGCAGGCGUGGGGCAGAUUCAGAUCAAAUGGGUCCUUUCUGGACACUCCCAGGUCCUGGCACGUGAAGCCUGUGCUCCUCGGGGCUCCUGAGCCUUUGAGCAGUGCCCGCACACGGAACUUUGCCAGGUUUCCUGUGCUCCUUCGAGCAGACGGGGGAAUUCCUUCUCCUUCCUGUUCCCGGCUCAAGCACUUCCUGUCUCCUCGGCUCCUUCCCGCACACCUGAGGGCAGGUUAAGCCUUGAGACCAAGUCACUGGCAGCUGGAAAACAAUUCCUUUCCUCUAGGGCGAGAAAGAUGGACUCCAAACUCUGCCAGGACAGGAGCGGAAAUAUUAGCCUUUUAUUUUUCCAUGGUAAAGAGAGGAAAGAACACUACACUACUUGAGAAAAGAGAGUAGAAAAGACAGGACACGUCAAAAGCUGUAACAGGGAGUGCCCAUUGUGGCUCCGUGGGUGAAGGAUCUGGUGUCGCUGUGAGCUGUGGUGUAGGUUGCAGAUGCGGCUCGGAUCCCACGUUGCUGUGGCUGUGGUGGAGGCCAGCAGCUGCAGCUCAGAUUGGACCCCAUGGGAACCUCCAUAUGCCGCGAGUGCAGCCCUAAAAAGACAAAAACAAAAUUUGAGAAACACCGUAAUAAGUUUAUAACCUUUGGCCUAGAAAUUUCCCUCUUAAGAAUGUAACCUGAGGAAAUGAUCAGAGACGAUUUCAAAGAUUUACAAAGAUUACUGAAGGAUUAAGUAUGGCAGUAAAAGGAAUAAAUGUUGGUAUUAGUAACGUGAAUGAAGAGUUUACUCUCAUGGGCAGAUAGUAAAUUACAUUGAGAAAACAGAUGGAAAUAACGUAGCAGCGUGAUUCCCAUGAGAUCAAAAGGGUGAAAACAGGCUCUGUGCCUGUUUUAUUAAUAGAGGGAAAGUUGUGAACUAUUUCAUGUAAGUUUCUUUCUGUCUUUCGUCUUUUUAGGGCCACACCUGCAGCAUAUGGAAGUUUCCAAGCUAGGGGUCAGCCUGGAGCUGUAGCCUCUGCCCUGUGCUGCAGCCGCAGCAAUGCGGGAUCUAGGCAGCAACGUACAUCACAGCUCAUGGCAACACCAGAUGCUUGACCCACUGGGCCAGGGAUGGGAUCGAACCUGCAUCCUCAAAGAGACAAUAUCAAGUUCACAACCCCACGAUGGGAACUCCGCGUGUGAGUUUCAGUUAAGCCUGGCUCUCCUCUGGUUGCUAGCUAGCAGCUGCGUCUGCCAGCUGGCCGUGUGUGAUCCGUUGGCUCAACAGACGUGGGGCCAGUGCAUUCCAAGCACUGUGGCUAUGAUCGCUGUUAAAAGUUGUAACUUUCCCAAAAGGUAGAAGAAGGACUUUUAAAUAAAUAUAAAAGUGGCAUGUGGCAAAGAUCUUUUUUUUUUUUUUUUUUUUUUUUUUUUUGUCUUUUUGUAUUUUCUAGGGCCAUAUCCAUGGCACAUGGAGGUUCCCAGGCUGGGGGUCUAAUUGGAGCUGUAGCCGCUGGCCUACACCACAACCACAGCCCACGCCAGAUCCGAGCCGUAUCUGCAACCUACACCACAGCUCACAGCAACGCUGGAUCCUUAACCCACUGAGCGAGGCCAGGGAUCGAACCUGCAACCUCAUGGUUCCUAGUCAGAUGCGUUAACCACUGCGCCACGACAGGAACUCCGCGAAGAUCUUAAUGAAGGAGGAAGCCGGCAAGAUGUUAAAACUUGUUUCAAGAAAGAACCUGAGGGGAGUUCCCAUUGUGGCACAGUGGCAACCAAUCUGACUAGGAACCACGAGGUUGCAGAUUCAAUCCCUGGCCUUAAGGAUCUGGCAUUGCUGUGGCUGUGGUGUAGGCUGGCAGCUAUAGCUCCAAUUUGACCUCUAGUCUGGGAGCCUCCAUGUGCCGAGGGUGCAGCCCUUAAAAAAAAAAAAAAGAGAAUCCGAGGAAGAGACUUCUGCAUGGGAAGUCAGGAAAGCUGAAAUCAAUUUGCUAGUAACGCAGGGCUGGUCAUUGCCCUGUGAGCAAAAGGCAGUGUUUGGAAUCAGCUUUUGCAAGACACAGGAUGGCCUGUGGCAGUGCCAUGGGCACAGCAGCUGCGUUGGUGGGAUGUGACUUGCUCUUCCAGCAACAGGAAUUAUUGGCAGUACCAUCAAUAUUCUGUCAGUUGACUUUUCGUCUCCGCAGAGCUGUCACAGGCCUCAACGGGGACAAACGGGCACACGCCCCUGUGGGAUGGACGCCAGGGAGGAUGUCCAGCCAUC